rnacentral:rRNA from 1 species
GGGGGUUUUUUUUAUGUUUUUUGCCCGGCGGCGGGAACUAAGCGGCGGGCUAAACAUCAAAUCGAGCGACAAUAAGGACUUGCUCCUUUGACCUUAGGGCGGACGGGUGAGUAACACGUGGAUAACCUACCUAUAAGACUGGGAUAACUUCGGGAAACCGGAGCUAAUACCGGAUAACAUAUUGAACCGCAUGGUUCAAUAGUGAAAGGCGGCUUUGCUGUCACUUAUAGAUGGAUCCGCGCCGUAUUAGCUAGUUGGUAAGGUAACGGCUUACCAAGGCAACGAUACGUAGCCGACCUGAGAGGGUGAUCGGCCACACUGGAACUGAGACACGGUCCAGACUCCUACGGGAGGCAGCAGUAGGGAAUCUUCCGCAAUGGGCGAAAGCCUGACGGAGCAACGCCGCGUGAGUGAUGAAGGUCUUCGGAUCGUAAAACUCUGUUAUCAGGGAAGAACAAAUGUGUAAGUAACUGUGCACAUCUUGACGGUACCUGAUCAGAAAGCCACGGCUAACUACGUGCCAGCAGCCGCGGUAAUACGUAGGUGGCAAGCGUUAUCCGGAAUUAUUGGGCGUAAAGCGCGCGUAGGCGGUUUUUUAAGUCUGAUGUGAAAGCCCACGGCUCAACCGUGGAGGGUCAUUGGAAACUGGAAAACUUGAGUGCAGAAGAGGAAAGUGGAAUUCCAUGUGUAGCGGUGAAAUGCGCAGAGAUAUGGAGGAACACCAGUGGCGAAGGCGACUUUCUGGUCUGUAACUGACGCUGAUGUGCGAAAGCGUGGGGAUCAAACAGGAUUAGAUACCCUGGUAGUCCACGCCGUAAACGAUGAGUGCUAAGUGUUAGGGGGUUUCCGCCCCUUAGUGCUGCAGCUAACGCAUUAAGCACUCCGCCUGGGGAGUACGACCGCAAGGUUGAAACUCAAAGGAAUUGACGGGGACCCGCACAAGCGGUGGAGCAUGUGGUUUAAUUCGAAGCAACGCGAAGAACCUUACCAAAUCUUGACAUCCUUUGACCGCUCUAGAGAUAGAGUCUUCCCCUUCGGGGGACAAAGUGACAGGUGGUGCAUGGUUGUCGUCAGCUCGUGUCGUGAGAUGUUGGGUUAAGUCCCGCAACGAGCGCAACCCUUAAGCUUAGUUGCCAUCAUUAAGUUGGGCACUCUAAGUUGACUGCCGGUGACAAACCGGAGGAAGGUGGGGAUGACGUCAAAUCAUCAUGCCCCUUAUGAUUUGGGCUACACCGUGCUACAAUGGACAUACAAAGGGCAGCUAAACCGCGAGGUCAACCAAAUCCCAUAAAGUUGUUCCAGUUCGGAUUGGAUCGGCACCCCACCACUGAACCUGGAACCCCUAGAAUCGAAAUCACCGCUACCGGGUAAAUUCGGUCGGGCUUUUUUUUUACCCCGGAAGAGGGG